GAAUCCUGCAGGCGUAUGUCUGUUAGGAGCUGUGGGGUUUAGGUGCGUCUCUGCGGCGAAGGUGUAUUGUCUGCGUUCUCUUGAGCGAGGCUUGACCCAUAGCGGGUGUAAGGCCUAUCUGACUUUGCACGUCGUCACUAGGGCGUCACCUUGGAGUCGGGUUGUUUGAGAAUGCAGCCCAAAGUGGGUGGUAAACUCCAUCUAAGGCUAAAUACAAGCACGAGUCCGAUAGUAAACAAGUACCGUGAGGGAAAGUUGAAAAGCACUUUGAAGAGAGAGUUGGACAGUACGUGAAACCGUUUACAGGUAAACGGAAGGGACCGCAAUGUCGGCUCCGGGGAUUCAAUUCACUGCUUAGCUGCCCUCUUACCGUAUGCGAGUUCUGCCCUCUUGACGGGGGGCGGGGCCGACCGGUUUGCGAGUUGUGUGCUUCGAGUGGACGCAUUUUCUCGGUAGCUGAACACCACAACGGUUUGCUUGACCAUCAGAGGUGCCCGGACAAGGUAGCCACUGGUUGUAAUGACUGGUGGAACUUAUAGGUCCGAGGAGUUGCUGACUGGUUGGGUGAGCGAGGAGCUCGGGCCGCGUAUAUGUUGCCCUGGUCGCCUGACUUGCCGUCGACUGGCGGGGACUGCUUGCAGUGCCCUGUCCGACUGUCGGUGUUGGGGCCAGACUGGGGGGGUCGGCUAUACGUGUGUAAGUCCAGGGUUCGUGGUGAUCUGUCGGCACCCCAUCCGACCCGUCUUGAAACACGGACCAAGAAGUCUAACAUGUGCGCAAGUCAAAGGGACCACCGAAUCCCCACGGCGUAUUCAAUGAGAAAAGGUGUGAUCCGGGGUAAAACCUGGCGCAACACCGCCCCGUCUCGUGGCCUUUGUGUCUGAGGCGGAGGUUGAGCGUACAUGUUAGGACCCGAAAGAUGGUGAACUAUGCC
rnacentral:rRNA from 1 species